rnacentral:rRNA from 1 species
UGCGUAGGCGGUUGAUUAAGUCAGUUGUGAAAGCCCAGGGCUUAACCUUGGAAUAGCAAUUGAAACUGAUAGACUAGAAUCGAGUAGAGGGGAGUGGAAUUUCCGGUGUAGCGGUGAAAUGCGUAGAUAUCGGAAGGAACACCAGUGGCGAAGGCGACUCCCUGGGCUCGGAUUGACGCUGAGGCACGAAAGCGUGGGUAGCGAACA